UACGUAGGGGGCAAGCGUUGUCCGGAAUCAUUGGGCGUAAAGAGCGUGUAGGCGGCCUGGUAAGUCCGCUGUGAAAGUCCAGGGCUCAACCCUGGAAUGCCGGUGGAAACUGUCAGGCUCGAGUCCGGAAGAGGCGAGUGGAAUUCCUGGUGUAGCGGUGAAAUGCGCAGAUAUCAGGAGGAACACCAAUGGCGAAGGCAGCUCGCUAGGACGGUACUGACGCUGAGACGCGAAAGCGUGGGGAGCAAACAGG
rnacentral:rRNA from 1 species